rnacentral:rRNA from 1 species
UACGUAGGGUGCGAGCGUUAAUCGGAAUUACUGGGCGUAAAGCGUACGCAGGCGGCUUUGCAAGACAGGUGUGAAGUCCCCGGGCCUAACCUGGGAACUGCAUUUGUGACUGCAUGGCUAGAGUUUGUCAGAGGGGGGGUGGAAUUCCACGUGUAGCAGUGAAAUGCGUAGAUAUGUGGAGGAACACCGAUGGCGAAGGCAGCCCCCUGGGAUGUGACUGACGCUCAUGUACGAAAGCGUGGGGAGCAAACAGG